UUGUGCCCUUGAGGCGUGGCUUCCGGAGCUAACGCGUUAAGUCGACCGCCUGGGGAGUACGGCCGCAAGGUUAAAACUCAAAUGAAUUGACGGGGGCCCGCACAAGCGGUGGAGCAUGUGGUUUAAUUCGAUGCAACGCGAAGAACCUUACCUGGUCUUGACAUCCACGGAAGUUUUCAGAGAUGAGAAUGUGCCUUCGGGAACCGUGAGACAGGUGCUGCAUGGCUGUCGUCAGCUCGUGUUGUGAAAUGUUGGGUUAAGUCCCGCAACGAGCGCAACCCUUAUCCUUUGUUGCCAGCGGUCCGGCCGGGAACUCAAAGGAGACUGCCAGUGAUAAACUGGAGGAAGGUGGGGAUGACGUCAAGUCAUCAUGGCCCUUACGACCAGGGCUACACACGUGCUACAAUGGCGCAUACAAAGAGAAGCGACCUCGCGAGAGCAAGCGGACCUCAUAAAGUGCGUCGUAGUCCGGAUUGGAGUCUGCAACUCGACUCCAUGAAGUCGGAAUCGCUAGUAAUCGUGGAUCAGAAUGCCACGGUGAAUACGUUCCCGGGCCUUGUACACACCGCCCGUCACACCAUGGGAGUGGGUUGCAAA
rnacentral:rRNA from 1 species